rnacentral:rRNA from 1 species
CUACCAUGCAGUCGAGCGGUAAGGCCCUUCGGGGUACACGAGCGGCGAACGGGUGAGUAACACGUGGGUGACCUGCCCUCCACUCUGGGAUAAGCCUGGGAAACUGGGUCUAAUACCGGAUAUGACCUCUGGGUGCAUGCCUGGGGGUGGAAAGUUUUUUCGGUGGGGGAUGGGCCCGCGGUCUAUCAGCUUGUUGGUGGGGUGAUGGCCUACCAAGGCGACGACGGAUAGCCGGCCUGAGAGGGUGAUCGGCCACACUGGGACUGAGACACGGCCCAGACUCCUACGGGAGGCAGCAGUGGGGAAUCUUGCGCAAUGGGCGGAAGCCUGACGCAGCAACGCCGCGUGGGGGAUGACGGCCUUCGGGUUGUAAACCUCUUUCGCGAUCGACGAAGGCCCACUUUCUGUGGGUUGACGGUAGGUCGAGAAGAAGCACCGGCCAACUACGUGCCAGCAGCCGCGGUAAUACGUAGGGUGCGAGCGUUGUCCGGAAUUAUUGGGCGUAAAGAGCUCGUAGGCGGUGUGUCGCGUCGGCCGUGAAAACCUGGGGCUUACUCUGGGCGUGCGGUCGAUACGGGCAUCACUUGAGUUCGGCAGGGGAGACUGGAAUUCCUGGUGUAGCGGUGAAUGCGCAGAUAUCAGGAGGAACACCGGUGGCGAAGCGGGUCUCUGGGCCGAUACUGACGCUGAGGAGCGAAAGCAUGGGUAGCGAACAGGAUAGAAUAC